rnacentral:rRNA from 1 species
AUUGAACGCUGGCGGCAGGCUUAACACAUGCAAGUCGAGCGGGGUGAUGGUGCUUGCACUAUCACUUAGCGGCGGACGGGUGAGUAAUGCUUAGGAAUCUGCCUAUUAGUGGGGGACAACAUCUCGAAAGGGAUGCUAAUACCGCAUACGUCCUACGGGAGAAAGCAGGGGAUCACUUGUGACCUUGCGCUAAUAGAUGAGCCUAAGUCGGAUUAGCUAGUUGGUGGGGUACAGGCCUACCAAGGCGACUAGCUGUAGCGGGUCUGAGAGGAUGAUCCGCCACACUGGGACUGAGACACGGCCCAGACUCCUACGGGGGGCAGCAGUGGGGAAUAUUGGACAAUGGGGGGAACCCUGAUCCAGCCAUGCCGCGUGUGUGAAGAAGGCCUUAUGGUUGUAAAGCACUUUAAGCGAGGAGGAGGCUCUUUUGGUUAAUACCCAAGAUGAGUGGACGUUACUCGCAGAAUAAGCACCGGCUAACUCUGUGCCAGCCGCCGCCGUAA